ensembl:lncRNA
AGCCGAGGGUGAAGCGGCUGGGAUGAGGAUCAGUACAGCUGAAUCGGACACCAUGACUCUUAGCAGGAAACCGGUGAAUGGAGUCCUUAGUCCAAUUGAAGGAGUUCUAAGCAGAGGAAAUGCUCAUCUGCUUAGAAAGGAGUCAGUUGAGGUGCUACGGGCAUCUGGUAAGGAUGCCCACUGGGCGCCUCCAUUGGUAGGAGUUCCAGGCACGACCAGUUGGGAGGAGACCUAGGAGAAGACCAAGGACUAGGUGGAGAGAUUAUAUCUCAGCACUGGCCGGGGAAUGGCUCGGUAUCCCCCCGUCAGAGAUGGUCAAUGUGGCCUGGGAAAGGGAAGUCUUGGGGGUCUUGAAAUCUGGGGCCCCCUGCUUCAGCCCCGACCCCGGAUAAGCGGAUUACGAUGAGGAUGACAAAGAGGGAGGAGGUAGAGUGUUCCUGGCGUAAUGAGGGAAUUGGAGGCAGCCGUGUUCUGGCUGCCGGGGAUAUAGGCGGUGUCCUGUGGCCCCAUUCUCUCUCUCUCUCUGAUGGACGCGGUUUGACGGCUGGAUGCAGGGGAUCGCAUUGUCUUCUCUGCGCCCAUGUUGAUUUAUGGAACUGCCUGUCAAUAAAUAUAGUUUAUUGUAAUGAACGUUACCCGAC